rnacentral:lncRNA from 1 species
GGCCAAUUACUUUCUUAUGAGAACCCUAAAAGUUCAGAAUUCAAAGAUGUUGAGGGACAAAUAGAAGUCAUGUUUAUAAGGAGGGAAAAGAGGAUGCUGGUGGUGGAUCUCUGGUCCCAUCACAGAGACGAGGGGAGAUGGGUUACUUGCAGGCCUCGUCUCUACGUGCUGGUUUACUGGAAGGGAACAGGAGAGGGUGAGGGAUUGAGGAAUGCAGACAGGAACUCACCUUUAUUGGAUUCCUAUUAAAUCUCAUUUAAUCCUUGACGUCUUCUUAUAAAGCAUUACUGCAUUCCCUUUCAGAUGAGGAAAUUGAGGCUUAAAGAAUUGAGUAAUAUGCCUACGCUCACGGGUGUGUGCUACUCUACCGCUGUAGGCAGACAUACCCGGGUCUGGCCUCCCCACCUCACUCCUCAUCAUCAGCCUCCCAUUGAAGUUUGGCAGCACUCAUUAAGCCAUUUAAUAAGAUUUACAUACAGUCAUGUGCCGUGUAGCAGCAUUUCUGUCAAUGAUUGGCCACUUACAUGAUGGUGGUCCCAUGAACCCAGAGAGUAUCCUGGCCAUCAGUCCCCAAAAUCAAACAUGCAUCUCACCCCUUCCUACUGUGGGUCUGGAAGGAUUCCUGGAUGAGACCAUCUUGAUAAUCAAUGUUAGGAUAAUAUGGUUUGGCUGUGUCCCCACCAAAAUCACAACUUGAAUUCUAUCUCCCAGAAUUCCCACAUGUUGUGGGAGGGACCCAGGGAAGGUCAUUGACUCAUGGGGUCCGGUCUUUCCCGUGCUAUUCUCAUGAAUAAGUCUCAUGAGAUCUGAUGGGUUUAUCAGGGGUUUCCGCUUUUGCUUCUUCCUCGUUUUUCUCUUGCCACCACCAUGUAAGAAGUUCCUUUUACCUUCUGCCAUGAUUCUGAGGCCUCCCCAGCCAUGUGGAACUGUAAGUCCAAUUAAACCUCUUUUUCUUCCCAGUCUCAGGUAUGUCUUUAUCAGCAGCAUGAAAAUGGACUAAUACACAGGAUAUCCCUUCCUUCCAGUUAAAGAGGAACACCUCAUCCAGGAAUUCCCGGUGCUGGGACAGCCUCCUGUUUACCCCUCGGCCUGCUCCGUCCCGGCAGAUAAGGAAGAGCCACCCAUUCUCUCCGCCACACCAGUGCAGGUUUCCUGCCGGACUCCAGGCAACUGCUUCCUAGCCAGGCUUUUUCCCAGGGGCUGGGGGUGGAGGCCACAGGCUCUUCAGCUUGUGAGAAAGUAGGGGAGAGGGAGCCCUAGAGAAAUACCAGUAGGUAGGGAGGUGGUGAGAAGGGGCCCCGGCCUGCCUGUGGUGGGCUGUGCGAGACCCAUGGGCCCUGCCCUCUAGCACACACAGAAAGCCCCUUGGCUUUCCACAGAAGACUGACCACUUUUCUCCAGCCAUGACCCCUUUGCCCCUGCACCUGAUGCAAAGCCAGAGGCAGAGCCACACAAGAGUGCACCACCACAUUCAGCUAAUUUUUAUAUAUUUAGUAGAGAUGGGGUUUCACCAUGUUAGCCAGGAUGGUCUCGAUCUCUUGACCUUAUGAUCCACCCGCCUUGGCCUCCCAAAGUGCUGGGAUUACAGGUGUGAGCCACCGCGCCCGGCCUGUUUCAUCACUUUCAAACCAAAGUCCAUCUGAUUGAUAGAAACUAAGUCACAUGUCUGUAGCCUUACAGCAAGUGAGACUGGGCAUCCAUGUCUGGCUGCCAUGCUGGGAAGGUAGAUCCACAAUAUGGGGGAAGCUUUUGAAAUAUGGAGAGGCUGUUAAAGUGUGGGAGUACCCAGGAAUGAUCACAGUCCACCACACACACAGUCCCCAUUCCACAAAUCACUGUGUGAGACGGGAAGUCUAGAUUCAGAUCUGCCUUCUUUCUAGAAGCCCCUGUUCAAGCCCUUAGUUCUAGAGCAUAUAAAGAAACCUGUAGAAAAAAGGUUUUGAUUUUGGUGUGACUUGAAGACUCUUUUAUAGUCUUCUUUUUACCAGGUAUGAGAAAUUUUUACAACUUCUCCCUGUUAGAAACAUUCCUGUGAUGGGCUAAGUUCUUUGAAGUCUCUGACUCUUAUCUGCAGUUUCCUCUGCCUGGAUUGCAGCUCUCUCCUCUGGUUGCAUCUAUAAUACCUGGCCCAAACAUUCAGGUGGGAGCUUGCUAAACAGGCCUGGGCUAAAAUCUAUCUCUGCUGCUACACAGCUG